rnacentral:rRNA from 1 species
UGAAGCUGGAUUCGCUAGUAAUCGCGCAUCAGCCAUGGCGCGGUGAAUACGUUCCCGGGCCUUGUACACACCGCCCGUCAAGCCAUGAAAGCCGGGGGUACCUGAAGUACGUAACCGCAAGGAUCGUCCUAGGGUAAAACUGGUAAUUGGGGCUAAGUCGUAACAAGGUACC